GUAAUAGUUUUUACCGUUGGGUGGGAUGUGGGCUCAACAAAAUGGGUAGGCAAGAAAUCGGAAGUGCAACUUUUCUUUCCACAGCAAUUCCAAGUGAUCAAUAGAGUCGAGUCUGUCAAAUUCCAUUGCUUAAUUUCGAGCAACAUUUAACUUCAUAUUUUUAAAAUGAGUCUCUUCACACGGUCGUUUAGAUCUCUUUGCUGAGAUCUACUGGAUCAUUUUCUUUUCAAUAAUUCACAAAUUCAACCAGACAAAUUGAAUUAAAUUAACUUUUUUGCCUCCCUGUAACAUUUGAGGUCACUUGGAAUGAGCAAAAUGCGUCUGCCUUGCUCUCCGUACCAGCCGUGGUGUAUGGAAGUGAGGUGGACGUUGAGCUCGAAGACUUCGCGUCGAAGAGGAUCGCCGACCGUCACGCCAUAAAUUUGUAAACCUUUCUCCUUUCCACUCCCCAAUGUUAAUUGGAAUAGAAGGAUGCAAUUAAAGAUUGCAUUUCUUCGAUUUCCAUUAGCAUAAAUAUUCCAAGUCUGACGCCGCUCGCGCGGGUUUAUAGCGCGAGGACGAGGAAUCGCAUGAUCUGUGUUUGUAUUUUUUAUGUUGUGUCGUCCUUAGGGGUCCUAAGAAAUUUUUUAAAUCAAUAACUAGCGUGACUUGCCAUCUUGCAAGGCGCUUUAAAAACUUGACUGAUAUUGGUGGUGGGAAUAUGUAUUGAGAGAUUUUUUUUCAGGACUUUAAAGUGAAAUAAAAACCCAAGUUCCGUCGCUGCUGCUCGUAUGCGCGCGGACUUGGCGCUUAAAACAUGCUUUGCAACGCUUCCCGCGUUCUAAACUCAAAAGCCGAAAAAUUGUGAGGAACCAAGUAUCAUCGCACCUUUUUGUGCGUGGUACUUGACUUCCACGGGAUUAUUUGUAAGAAACUAAUCAAAAUUUUACCUUUCAGAUUAAUAUUUCCCUACCGUUAAUAAUAAUAAAAUUUUCUUGCAGGUUCUAAUUAUUAGUUUUUAUUUUCAGUUUGAUUACUAAUCAAAAUUUUCUUACAGAUGUUAGGUUUUAGUCUUUAGUUUCAUUGCUAAUCAGAUGUUGUUCACAGGCUGUCUCUGGCUACUAAUGUGCAAUCUGCUCUCUGAUUUCAGGAAUUCAAACUCCUGGACAACUCUCAACCGUUCUUCCAGAUUCUCCUCAAUUUCGUUACUAAUCAGAUGUUGUUCACAGGCUGUCUCUGGCUACUAAUUCAGUUUAUGCUUUCUGAUUUCAGGAAUUCAAAUUUCCGACGAACCUCUUGGAUUCCCUGGGACUUUCAGUCUUGAUACUAAUCAGAUGUUGUUCACAGGCUGUCUUUGGCUAGUAAUGUAAUCUGCUUUCUGAUUUCAGGAAUCCAAACUCUCAAACUCACUCCCAAAAAACCUUCACCUUUACUUCCCAGAUUUUCAGUUCCACUACUAAUCAGAUGUUCACAGGCUAUCUGGCUACUAAUGCAAUUAAUUUUAUGUUCCAGCAAUCAUCAUGUUGCAUACCUUUUAUUUUAAUGAUCAAAUUCAGAAAAUUUAGCUAGGUACUCACUUCCUCGAAGUGUUCAUCUUAUAAAUUCAAGAAAAACUUGAGUAACAUUUCGAAUUUCUGUUUCAGGAAUUAGAAAAAUACGUCUUUGAGAUCGGAUUCUGAUUUCUACAUUUUGGCAGCUAAUUGUUUCCAGUUAACAUUGCUUGUUCUUUCUCUUUGCAGAAAUUCAAUCUGAUAUAAUACUGAUCUGUUAAUGACUUGUUUACAUGUUUCAGGAUUUAUGUUUUAUACUUUGAUUAACAAUUGUAUAUUUUAUUUGCAGAAAUUUCAUCUAAUAUAAUAAUGAUAUGUUGAUCAGUUUUUUCUAUGUUCCAGAUGUCACGUGUCAUGAAUUAAUUGACAAACUCUUUUUCUCUUUUCAGAAGUCGAACCAUCAGAGCACGAAUUUUUUGUUGCUUUAUUCUAUUUUUUAUCUUUGAUAUUGAUGUUUAAUAAUGAGAUGACUGAUAACAAUUUUGAUGAUUAUUUAUUUAUCUGUCCUGUUCCAUGUUUUGUGUUUCACGUUUUGUAAUAUUUUGUGUUUGACGUGGUACCAUGUCUUGUGCGUGUAUAUGUUGUUUGUCAUCAUGUGUGUUGUCAUGUGCUAGUUUUAUUGUCUCUUUAUAUCACAUAUAUUACUUUCUAUUCGUGUCGAACCCAUAAUUCAUUUCUAUGUGAUUGACUGUCUCGAAAAAUAUCUAUUUUACUCUUGUUUCUAUGUCUCAAAUCUUUGCAGGUUUCAUCCCAGCAGACUGGCCCAUGAGGGGGGCCCAACGACAGUGGUUUGAAUAGGGCCUAACGGCGAUCGUUCCACUUAAAAAAAAAUCGAAACGAGCCGAGGACGCUACCUCAUUUAAGGUGGUUUGGAAACGCGUCAUUUCAGGUGUUUCUCUAAUUUUUAAUACCGUGGGCCUGUAAAUCAUAUGUCAUUAUAAAAACUGAACUUUGAUUUAUUUAUAACUCUACAAUGUACAUUCAAACUUGACAGAACUUUUAUUGAGAUUGACUUGGAUUGACCAUAGUCAUUGUGAAGUUAUAUACCCACUUAUCAUAGCUAUGAAUAAUUUAUUGAUACAACUGAUGAGGAGAGAUUUUUGCAAUAACCAAUAAGGCAAGAACAAAAAAUGCUGAAAUGACAUCAUAUUGACUUAUAUUGUUCGUUCGAUCACCAAAUACAUUGACUUUUGUACAUUAAAAAUACAAACUAAUAUCUGGUUUUACAGGAUCAACCCAUGGAAUUCAAGACUAUUUUUGUUAUAAUCUACCGUUAGUCUCAUUCUAAGAAUCUUUCAGUAAGGUCAACACAGGAACAUGAUAUAAUCAAAUAUAAUUAUAAAAAUAAUGAUUCAGACUUCUAGCUGAAAGUACUCGAGCCGUACAGCUGUAAAUUAGUGCUAAGAAAUUCAAAACCAAACGAAAGCAAAAGAUGUCGAGAUGUUAUGCUUGAAUGAUAGACGGAUAUUUCCGAAAAUCAAUCAUAUGCAUGGGAUGGAUUAAUGGAACGAAUACGUAACUAUUAGUAUCAAUACAUUGAUAUCAAAAUGAAAACAUUAAUAGGCAGUGUAAAAUAUUUUAUACAUGACAUACAAUAAAAUGUAUACAUAUGUAUGUUAGAAAAUAUGCUUAAAUGUUAAGCAAUUAUAAAUCAUAAUGGACCCCUCUA